GGUUGUGGCUCAGAGGUAGAACACUCACCUAGCAUGUGCGAGGCCCAGGGUUCGAUCCUCAGCACCA
rnacentral:tRNA from 1 species